UUUUAUUUUAUUUUUUAAAGUCAUUGCAGAUGUAAGUAAGUUAAAGAUGUCGAGAUGAGGUCAUCAUUCUGAGUUAAAUGAGUGGGUCCUAAACGAGAGGUGUCCUUACAAGAGGAAGGCAGAGGAAGGGCACACAGAAGAGGAAUAUUAUGCAGCAAUCAAAAAUGAUGAGUUCGUGUCCUUUGUAGGGACAUGGAUGAAUCUGGAGAACAUCAUUCUCAGCAAACUGACACAAGAACAGAAAAUGAAAUACCGCAUAUUCUCACUCAUAGAUGUCUGCGAACUACCACCAUCACGUCUGGAAAAAAGCGACUUCACACUAAUACAGCAGAGGAAAACCAUAGGUUGGCCAAAAACGGAACAGAAUUUACAAGGGAAAACGAAGGUUCCUGGAGUGAUAUGUGUAGGUUAGAUGAGAAUGGAGCUGGUGAAUGAGCAGAAGAGAAGGUUGGAAGGUUGGAAGAGUCCCAGCGGAAGGAGCCCCAGUAAGUAAAUCAAAUCAACACCACACCUCCUGUUCCUUUGUCCUUUCAUAUACAGCU
rnacentral:lncRNA from 1 species